rnacentral:rRNA from 1 species
CCUACGGGAGGCAGCAGUGAGGAAUAUUGGUCAAUGGGCGCGAGCCUGAACCAGCCAAGUCGCGUGAGGGAGGACGGCCCUACGGGUUGUAAACCUCUUUUGCCGGGGAGCAACGGGCGUCACGUGUGGCGCCACUGAGAGUACCCGGAGAAAAAGCAUCGGCUAACUCCGUGCCAGCAGCCGCGGUAAUACGGAGGAUGCGAGCUUUAUCCGGAUUUAUUGGGUUUCAAGGGUGCGUAGUGGGAUCGUUAAUUCAGUGGUCAAAUGGAGGGCCUCAACCCCUUCCCGCCAUUGAAACUGGCGCUCUUGAGUGGAAGAGAAGUAUGCGGAAUGCGUGGUGUAGCGGUGAAAUGCAUAGAUAUCACGCAGAACUCCGAUUGCGAAGGCAGCAUACCGGCGCCCGACUGACGCUGAAGCACGAAAGCGUGGGUAUCGAACAGGAUUAGAUACCCUUGUAGUC